UCUAUGUAUAAUUUGAUUAUUCAUCAAAUUGAUGUCAAAGCUGCAUUCUUAAAUGGAGAAUUAGAUGAAAAGUUUAUAUGGAACAGCCCGAGGGCUUUGUUGUUCUUGGACAAGAGCAUAAAGUGUGUAAACUUGUCAUGUCAUUGUAUGGGCUUAAACAAGCACCUAAACAAUGGCAUCAAAAAUUUGAUCAGAUUGUUCUUUCCAAUAGUUAUAAAAUUAAUCAAUCUGAUAAAUGUAUUUAUAGUAAAUUUUCAAAUGGUAAAGGUGUUAUUAUAUGUCUAUAUGUUGAUGACAUGUUAAUUUUUGGCAUCGAUGUUCAGCAAGUAGAAAAUACUAAAAGUUUUUAAUCUUGCAAUUUUGAUAUGAAAGAUAUGGGGGAGGUUGAUAUUAUUUUGGGAAUUAAAAUUAUUCGUGAAAAUAAUGGUUUAUUUUUAACGCAGUCUUAUUAUAUCGAAAAGAUUCUUAGGAAAAAAUUAGUUAUUUUGACUGUACUCCAGUAUCUACUCCUUUUGAUCCUAAUCUAAAAUUAGUUCGCAAUACUGGUAGAUCAAUUAAUCAGUUAGAAUAUUCUAAGAUUAUUGGAAGUUUGAUGUAUGCCAUGUCUUGUACUAGGCCUGAUAUUGCAUUUGCUGUUGGUAAAUUAAGUAGAUUUAUUAGCAAUCCAGGUAAUGUACAUUGGCAUCCUAUUUACAGACUUUUGAAAUAUUUGAAAAAGACUAUGGAAUUUUCUAUAGUGGAUAUCCAACAGUAUUGGAAGGCUAUACAGAUGCCAGUUGGAUAACAAAUCAAGAAGAUCAUGCAUCCACAAGUGGGUAGAUAUUUAUAUUAGGUGGAGGUGCGAUUUCUUGGGGUUCUAAGAAACAAACAUGUAUAGCGGACUCUACCAUGGCAGCAGAAUUUAUAGCACUAGCGUCUGCUAGUAAGGAGGCGAAAUGGAUAAGGAAUUUAUUAUAUGAAAUUCUAGUUUGGCCAAAACCAAUGCCGCCGGUAUCGCUACAUUGCGAUCGUGAGGCUACGCUUUCGAGAGCAUAUAAUCAAACAUACAAUGGGAAGUCAAGACAUAUUGGAUUAAGACAUAGCUAUGUAAAACAACUGAUAUCAGAUGGCAUAAUUACCAUUGAUUUUGUAAGAUCAAACCAAAAUCUUGCGGAUCCGUUGACUAAGGGACUUCCAAGAGAAUUGAUAUUCAAGACAUCAAUGGGGAUGGAUCUCAAGCCCAUAUUACAAAGUCACCAAUGAUAGAAACUCGACUUAACACUUGAAACAUCAUCAAGUCUUAAGUUCAAUGAGCCAAAGUACAUCAUAUGGAGUGAUUGCAAGCACUAUAAUAUAAAAUUUCCAUCCCAAGUGCUUGGUAUCCGUAUUGAAAAGGGAAAGUUGAACUAAUAAAGUUCUUAAUAGACCUACAGUAGUAUUUACUGAAGUGUUAAAUACGGGACACUUCUGGUAGAGUCUACCUAUAUGAAUGUGAAGUGUGGCCGCUUCUAGGAGUUAAGGGCUUGACUCUAACAGCAUUCAUGAAACAGGAUGCGGACACAAGGCCAUAAAAGUGUCAGCAAUAAAAUAGAGCACUCGAUUGAUUAUAAAUUCCUAUGUGUGAGAUAUGUUCGGUUAGUCAAAAAAUAAUUGUUGGUUCAAAGCUUGUCUACCAUUCAAUUAUGUCUAACUUUGAUGAGUUUUCACUAAGUGUAGGUUCAAGUUUUAAUACAACUACACCUAUGCAUACGAUUUUGUCAAGUUGUCAAGAAUUUUGAUUUUUGAUUUUUGAUUUUUGAUUUUUGAUUUUGUUUUAUUUUGUAUUUUGAUGUAUUUUUAUGUAUUUUAAAAAUUGGUAGGGAAUUGUAAGGAAAUUUUUAAAAUAAUAUAUUUUUUUUAUUGAUUUUUAGUGAAUGGAUGCAACCCUUAGUGAGUGGAUGCAACUCUAAUCAAAGGAUGUGACUUUUAGUAAAAGGAUAUGACAUGAAAAGACACAUCUUUAUAGUGUGUCUCUUCGAGUAUAUGUCCGUUGGAAUUAAUUCUUACAUUCAUUGAACUUGACUCAUAUAACUAUUUGGUAGUUAUGGUCAAAUGAAAAGUCACAAUUGAAAGGUCACGUCACGAAAUACCCGUUCGUGGUCUAUAUAAGUCCACAGCGUUGGUUGCAGAAACGAAAGUAGAAAAAAAAAGAAACAGUUGAAGAGUUUAAAUCUCCAUUCAUAAUAAUUUCAUUCUUGUUUUCUUAUUCUUUUUGACAACUUAAUCAAGUGAGAGCUCAAAGGCUCGACUUCGUGUGUGCAAACGCAGUUGAAGUUUAUGCUUCAUUGUAUCCUGGGAGGCUGUUCGUUGACCCGGUGCACACCAAAUUGUUAGAACGGUAGGGAUGGAUUAAGCCUUAAGGAAAGUGGCAUUGCUACACGCCUUGAAGCCUUUUUUCAUCUUUCUAUUUCAUACCUUUUUCACUAUCUGCUCCAACAGCAAAUAGGGUUUAAAAUGUGACCUAAAGUGUGCAUGCUACCAAAUAUAGACAAAAUAUAACUGACAAAAUACAACAAGUUAUAUUGAAAGAACACAAUAAUCUACAAACAAUCAACUGUACUACAAAACCCACUACAACUUUUUUCAAAAAUCUAACCUCUAACCUAAUGAGGACAAUGUGGAUGCAAUGCUGAGGAGAGAGGGUGCGGUGGCGGCCUUGACGGUGGCAGCAGCAGCAGAGUCUUCGGUGCCGGCGACGGCGGCGUCGAAGUCGUCGGGUUCGGGCGGAGUGAGAGAGACAGAGAGGAAAUCGGGGAGAGGAGUAAGGGAGAAAGGAGAAGAGUUCGGGCGGAGUGAGGGAGACAGAGAGGAGAUCGGGGAGAGGAGUGAGGGAGAAAGGAGAAGGGUUCGGGCGGGGUCUAGGGUAUUCUAAUUAAAUGUGGUGAACUGUUCACUGCAUAUAAAAGCGGUAAACGGUUUACCGUAUUUAAAGACGAUGAAUGGUUCACCGCUUUUAAAUGCGGUGAAUAGUUAACCGUCUUUAAAAGUGGUAAACUGUUCACCACCUUUAAAGGAACGCGGUAAACCGUAUUCUUAAUUUUUCACACUAAUUCCCCACACCUGCCAGAGGCCCACAAAUGCGGUGAAUGGUUCACCGCAUAAGUAAAUGCGAUGAACCAUUCACCGCAUAUAAAGAUUUUACUCCGAGGAACUGACCUGGCCUAUUUGAGGCCUACUUUUACAAUAAAAUUUAGAGGACAAUUUUUAGAAAAAAAAUUUUAAGAUUAUUUAUAAAAAAAAUUCGUUUCUGCAACAUAGUACAUUUAUACUGUGCUAUUAAUAAGGUCACAUUUUCUAUUGAGACAUUAUUAUACUGCUGGAACGAAACAUCUAGUGAAUUAUUUAGUCUUCAAACAGAUAUCUGAUGUCACCAAUCUAGGAGAUGAUUACGAACCUAACUCUACAUGCAAAGAACUGCCUCAUGACAAUAUUAAGCGCAAUGAAAGCAAAGUGGAUGAUGAACAAAGAGGAGAAAUUUCAGAAUCCUUUGGAAUUGGAGGUUACGAAAGGAGGGACAACCUCUAAAGCCGAAAGCACCAAGGUGAAACACUAAAAAGAACGCAAAAACAUCACAAAUAUGGCCAUCUCCUUUAUCCAGUGUCCUACAUAGCAAAUUCCGAAAUUCCUCUUAUCUCCUCUUAUUUACUCGAGAACUAGUUGAUUGUUAAUAUACAUAAAAAGUUGUAUAAAACCAAAUAAAAAGGAAAAUGUAAUCUUAAUUUUUUAAGGUUAUGAUAAAUCAACUUGUAGGUAAAUAAACUACCUUAAGAAUUCACAACGACCAGCCAAACUAUGAACUUACAAUCACCCAAGAAAACCAUCAUCAAACAAAGGUGGUCUACAUACAACCUUUUGAGACAUCAGGUAGAUGUUUGCAUUAAAAAGUUUCCGAAAAGAAAAUAAGUUUUCUUAUCCGCUAUAACUUUCUCCUACUAGGCUUUUGUUAGGCUUCUCGCUAUAUUAGCAAGCAAAAUGAUAUCCUAAAUACUUUACCUUAAAUAAGGAAAAUCACAUAAAUAUGUUCCUCUCUAUAAACCAUAAAAGUAAAUUUGAAAUGUGUAAAAUUUCUAAUUUAAAAAUUUUUACAUUUCUAUUUUCCUGAUAUAAUUUGAAAUGUGUGCAGGCCACAGCCUCAGACGGAUUGAGUGAAGAGGCGGACUUUGCAAGUGAAAAGGAUGAAAACAUGUGCAAGAAAGAUGAUUGUGCUAGAGAGACCGCUCAAGAUUUUCUGGAGGAAACUACUCAUAGAGCUUGGAAGGGCGGAGAGGAAACAGAUGCAAAGAAUAUUGGAAGUGAAGACAAUGAUAGAGAUGUAAAAGGAAUCCCUGAUGUGGCACCUCAGGGAGAUUAUAAUACAAAGACACCAGAUAAUACAUACACAAAAGAAAUUAUGAUAGCAAUAGAACAAGAAGAUGAGGCAAGGACACAAGUGAGAUCAGACAAUGAGGAAACAGAAGGUGAAAAGGUAUCAACAUAUCAACUCUGCCCUUUUCAACUUUUGUAGUCUUUUUAAGCAUUUGCUAAUUACUAAACUGUUGACACGUGUAACGAAUUAGGACUGAAGAGGAAACUUGAGCAAUGAUUAUAUGAUUAUAUAGAUAUAAGCCAUAUCUGUUGUUUCCGUGAUACUGUAUUUUCUUUUGUGCUAGUUACCAUUAGCUUUAUUUUUUUAUCAAACCAUUUUAUUAACUUCUUACAAUUUCAUUUAAGCAGAUAUCUAGUGUCAAAGGUGACAGUGAACCCACAAAGGUGGAGAAUGAAUACAUAAGCAACACUGUUGGUGAUGCCUCUGAUACAGGAGAGCCAACUGGGAAGCCUGCAGACGUAGAUGAUGUGGUAGACGAUGUGCAGGAAGAAACCAUAGGAUCUACAUGUGACGAACAACAUCAGGAAAAUAUUGAGAGCAACGAAAAAAACGAGGAUGGUGAACAGAGAGAAGACAAACAUCAAACUCUUCAACAAGAGGAAUUAGUUUCUGAAGUUGAAAAUCAAGAGACAACCUCCACAACAGGCGCUAAAAAGAUGGAGAUCUCAAAAGAAGGCGAAAACCUCAUUAAUAUGGUAACCUGCUUUAUUCAAUUGCAUAGUAUGUUAAAUUCCUUGGGACCUUUCUGGAAGCUAAAAUAACUUACCCAGCAUAUCUUCUCUUACUGACUCGAGAACUAUUUAUUUCUUGAUUGUUAAGGAGAACAAAAUUAUGUCUAAACCGAAGAGCAAAAAAAGUAAGCAAACUUAUUUUUAAGGAUAUGAUAAAUCACCUUGUAGGUGAACUGGUGAAGCAUAUUAGUUUAUAUCAUCAUGGCGGAAAAUUGUCUAAAGUCAAAGUCUGUUCUCAUAAUCACUAAUUGUUACCUCCAUCCAAUACUAGUUAUCUACACAUACAUUAAGGGUUUGUAUAUUGCGCAGUUGUAGAGAUUUUUUACACUCCCUAUCAACCAUUACCACAUGCACCUUGAGCAAACAGAAAGUCAUCAGCUGAACAAGAUACUCGUGCGUCUAAGAUUCUAAAUAGGCCAUAUAGAUUUUGCAUUGAAAGACAAUACAAUAAUUCUAGCCUGUCAACUAUUUUUGAAACUUGUCUUUUAUUAAACCUCUAAUUUACCUACUGUGGGCAGAUUUCUGAAUCAGUAAAUCUGGAGGAAACUAAAAUUGAAAAUGACACGGAUGAUGAGAAGAUCAAGGAGAGCGUUGAAGAUAAUCCCCGAGAUCAUGCCUUGCUUUCACAAACAAGACAUGAUGUAGCAGACGAAGACCACACAAAAGCAGAUCAAAGUUUGGAAGGGAAGGACGGUAAUAUUGUAAGUCUUGAGAAAGAAAGUAUCAAAAGCAAGGGACCUGAUGAGGUUCACCCCAGUGAAUCAGAAGCACAUCAGCGUUUGGUGGACAAAGACAACAAUAUUGUAAGUCUUGAAAAAGAAAGCAUUGAAAGCAAAGGGCCUGAUGAGGUUCAACCCGGUGAAUCAGAAGCCACCAAGGUAGACUUUCUUUUGAAUUCUUCAAAACUUUAUGUAUUUAAUUUAACUAUUCAAUUUGCUUUCCUUAAACUCUCUGUUUUUCCAACAUGCCUCCUCAUCUCAAGUUUGACUUGUGAAAAUUUUGAUCAAGCAGGUUGCUGAAAUUGUUAGCACAACUGACGAAGCUGAAACUACGUCUGUAGAUGGAGGGGAAAGUGUUGAUGUUGACAAAGAUAAGGCAGAGUAUCAAGAGCACAAAAACGUUAUAGAGUCAGUGAUGGAGGAAUAUAAUAAAGGGGGAGCAAAUGAAACACAAAUGGCCAAGAGCCACCAGGUAAUAAUUGAUUCAAUGCCACGUAUGGUUUCGUACUAAGUCCAAAAUUCGUAUAUUUUACUGCAUGGCCAGAAGUAUAGAAACGAUUGAACUAAUAAUUCUUAGCUUCUCCUCUAAAACCCCCAUUUCUAUAUAACAUUAAUUGUUGUCCUAUCUUGAUCAGAUUCCUGAAAUGGAUGAUCUAAGCCCUGAAAAGGCUUCGGAGACAAAUGAAUCGGUGAUGAAAGAUAUGCAUGACAAAACUAAAACAAAGCAUGAAGAAGAGCCAGAUUUUGCAAGUAACAAGCCAAUUAAUCAGACUACCAUGCCUGAACAAAGUCGAAUUCCUGAAGAAGAAAAUACUAUCAUGGAAAGCAAAACAGAGUCAAGCUUCCCAAAGGAUGCAAUUGAAAAUGCCCUGAAAUCAGACCCUGAAGAGAAGGAUGAGGAAAUGCUAAAGAAUGACGAGUCCUCACAUAUUUUCCCAGAGUCCUCUCCCGACGCUGAUCAUAACAUUGCUGAGGGAUUAUGUCAUCAAGAUGAAGGGAACAAGAUAUAUGAGGAUGCAGCACCAGAAACUGCAUUCGGCAAUCAAAGCUGUGAAGCAAAUGAGGAGCAAAGAGAAACAGAGAAAAAAGAUAUGCCUAUGAAGUACAUUGACACUGUAAACAGUCAAGAAGAGACGAUACAUAAAGAAGAUUCUGAUAAUGUGGAAGAGAGCGAGAAGUGUGCAGGAGAGGAUGGAACCGCUUUAACACUUGAGCGAGCAUCUGCAGCAAAGGAUGAUGAACAAAGAGAAGAGAAAUUUCAAAAUCCUCAUGACAUAGAAUCAGAAAUGGACGUUAAGAAAGAAAAGACAACCUCUGAAGCAGAAAGCUCCAAGGUAGCGCACUUUUGGCAAAAACAUCACAAAUAUGUCCAUCUCCUUUAUCCAGUAUCCCACAUAUCAAAUUCCGAAAUUCCUAUUAUCUCCUCUUAUUUAUUCAAGAACUAUUAAGUUAGUUGAUUGUUAAUAUACAUAAAAAGGUGUAUAAAACCAAAUAAAAAGGAAAAUGGAAUCUUAAUUUUUUAAGGUUAUGAUAAAUCAACUUAUAGGUAAAUACACUACCUUAAAAAUUCACAACGACCAGCCAAACUAUGAACUUACAAUCACCCAAGAAAACCAUCAUCAAACAAAGGUGGUCUACAUACAACCUUUUGAGACAUCAGAUAGAUGUUUGCAUUAAAAAGUUUCAGCAAAGAAAAUAAGUUUUCUUAUCUGCUGUUACAUUCUCCUACUAGGCUUUUGUUAGGCUUCUAGCUAUAUUAGCCAGCAUAAUGAUAUCCUAAAUACCUUACCUUAAAUAAGUAAAAUCACAUAAAUAUGUUCCUCCCUAUAAACCUUAAAAGCAAAUUUGAAAUGUGUAAAAUUUCUAAUUUAAAAAUUUUUACAUUUCUAUUUUCCUGAUAUAAUUUGAAUGGUGUGCAGACCACAGCCUCAGACGGAUUGAGUGAAGAGGCGGACUUUGCAAGCGAAAAGGAUGAAAACAUGUGCAAGAAAGGUGAUUGUGCUAGAGAGACCGUUCAAGAUUUUUCGGAGGAAACUACUCAUAGAGCAGGGAAGGGCGGAGAGGAAACAGAUACAAAGAAUAUUGGAGGUGAAGACAAUGAUAGAGAUGUAAAAGGAAUCCCAGAUGUGGCACCUCAGGGAGAUUAUAAUACAAAGACACCAAAUAAUACAUACACAAAAGAAAUUAUGAUAGCAGUAGAACAAGAAGAUGAGGCGAGGACACAAGUGAGUUCAGAUAAUGAAAAAACAGAAGGUGAAAAGGUAUCAACAUAUCAACUCUGCCCUUUUCAACUUUUUUUAGCCUUUUUAAGCAUUUGCUAUUAACUAAACUGUUGAUACGUGUAAGGAAUUAGGGCUAAAGAGGAAACUUGAGCAACGAUUAUAUAAUUAUAUAGAUAUAAGUCAUAUAUGUUGUUUCCGUGAUAUCGUAUUUUCUUUUGUGCUUGCUAUCAUUAGCUUUAUUUUUUGAUCAAACCAUUUUAUUAACUUCUUACAAUUUCAUUUAAGCAGAUAUCCAGUGUCAAAGGUGACAGUGAACCCACAAAGGUGGAGGAUGAAUACAUAAGCAACACUGUUGUUGAUGCCUCUGAUACAGGAGAGCCAACUGGGAAGCCUGCAAACGUAGACGAUGUGGUAGAUGAUGUGCAGGAAGAAACCAUAGGAUCUAUAUGUGAAGAACAACAUCAGGAAAAUGUUGAGAGCAACGAAAAAAAUGAGGAAGGUGAACAGAGAGGAGAGGAACAUCAAACUCUUCAACAAGAGGAAUUAGUUUCUGAAGUUGAAAAUCAAGAGACAACCUCCACAACAGGAGCUAAAAAGAUGGAGAUCUCAAAAGAAGGCGAAAACCUCAUUAAUAUGGUAACCUGCUUUAUUCAAUUGCAUAGUAUGUUAAAUUCCUUGGGACCUAUCUGGAAGCUAAAAUAACUUACCCAGCAUAUCUCCUCUUACUGACUCGAGAACCAUUUAUUUCUUGAUUGUUAAGGAGCACAAAAUUAUGUCUAAACAAAGAGCAAAAAAAGUAAACAAACUUAUUUUUAAGGAUAUGAUAAAUCACCUUGUAGGUGAACUCGUGAAACAUACUAGUUUAUAUCACUAUAGCUUUUAGGGAAUUGUCUAAAGUCAAACUCUUUUCUCAUAAUCACAAAUUGUUACCUCCAUCCAAACUAGUUAUCUACAUAUACAUUAAGGGUCUGUACGUUGCGCAGUUGUAGAGAUUUUUUACACUCCCUAUCAACCAUUACCACAUGCACCUUGAGCAAACAGUAAGUCAUCUGCUAAACAAGAUACUCGUGCAUCUAAAUAGGCCAUAUAGCUUUUGCAUUGAAAGACAAUACAAUAAUUCUAGCCUGUCAACUAUUUUUGAAACUUGUAUUUUAUUAAACUUCUAAUUUACCAACUGUGGGCAGAUUUCUGAAUCAGUAAAUCUGGAGGAAACUAAAAUUGAAAAUGACACGGAUGACGAGAAGAUCAAGGAGAGCAUUGAAGAUAAUCCCCGAGAUCUUGCC
rnacentral:lncRNA from 1 species